GGAAGAUCCGCCAUUGAUUUUGUGAGGAAAUCGGACGAAACAUCGAGAUCUGAGAAUCUUUCCAAGAGCGGAGGAGAGAGAAGCCGACGGCGUGCCAUGUGUCAACCGACUAGAGGACCGCGUGUGCCAACAACCUUCGGACACGCGUCAAACACCUCUUGAGAAGACGCGGCUCCAACCUUCCUGCGACACGCGUCCCCGGCAACGAAACCCGACCAGCGUCCCUCGGUUGACUCGGUACCCGUGCGGUGAAACAAACCGAACCGACGACCCACGGCUGCAGGAAAUCUUGGGGUGUGUGACACUCGCGCGUGGAACUUGCGAGUGAUUGCAUCCCGACGUGUGGCUGGGGCGUGGAAAUGCGUGACCUAAUUGAGGAAAAAUCACUACCUUUCGAUACGCCAAUUGUGUGGAAAUCCUGCGUAAGGGCACACAUCAUCCAAGUAAGCUACCACACUGAACUUUAGGAAGAAAUACUUGUAGGAGUCGCUUGGAAUGCAUGCAUGCUAGUUUAAUUAUCUUAGGUCGUAGCUUUUCGUGAUAGAAUAUAGGUAAUUGAUUAUUAAAAGUAAGAUGUAUUGAUGUAUUAUGUGAAUUAUUAUGAGAAUUACCUGAGUAUUGUUAUUAUGCUUUAAGUUUCCCCUUAUUAUGUAUAUGUAUAUUUCAUGCUGAAAGGAGGAUGAGAAAUUGUGAACUCUAUGCUCCGGGAGUUGAUGGAUGUUAUCGCCCCGUUGAGCUUGUAUGUUUACUUUGCAUGAAAAAUGUAUGAUGUUGUUGGAUGAUAGUUAUGUACGUACUCAGUUAAUUUUCAUGACCCACAUUUAUGAUUAAGUCCACGGAUUUGUGGUUAGAGUAACAAGAUACUAAGUAUAGACCUAACC